GUCUUUUUGAUAAUUAUUUAAGGUUUGGCCUGCUCCAUGAGUAAUAAAUAGCCGCAGUAUUUUGACUGUGCAAAGGUAGCAUAAUCAUUAGUUUUUUAAUUGAAAGCUGGAAUGAAGGGUCGGAUGAGAAAGUUUCUGUCUCACUAUUAUUUUAUUUGAAUUUUAUAUUUAAGUUAAAAAGCUUAAAUAUUAUAGAAAGACGAGAAGACCCUAUAGAGUUUAAUAGGUUUAUUUUAUAUUUAUUUGUAGGUUUAAUUUUAAUUAUAGGAUUAUUUGGUUGGGGUGACAUAAGAAUUUGAUAAACUUCUUAUUAUAUUUACAUUGAUUAAUGAAUAUUUGAUCCUAUUAUUUAGAUUAUAAGAAUAAAUUACCUUAGGGAUAACAGCGUAAUUUUUUUAGAGAGUUCUUAUCGAUAAAAGGGAUUGCGACCUCGAUGUUGGAUUAAAGUUAAUUUUUGGUGCAGAAGCUAGGAUUUUAAGUCUGUUCGACUUUUAAAACUUUACAUGAUCUGAGUUUAAACCGGCGUGAGCCAGGUUGGUUUCUAUCUUUUAUAGUUAAAAUAUUUUAGUACGAAAGGACCAGAUAUUUAAAUAAGAUUUUUUAUGAGUAAAAUUGUUAUUUUGGCAGAAUAGUGCAAUAGAUUUAGAAUCUUUAAAUGUAAUUUUACAAAUAACAAUUUAUUUUAUUGAUUUAAUUAUAUUGCUUAUUUCUAUAUUAGUAUUAGUUAUUUGUGUUUUGGUGGGGGUAGCUUUUUUAACUUUAAUAGAACGUAAGGUUUU
rnacentral:rRNA from 1 species